CCAGCUUCUGCGGGGUUUGGCGCCGCCGCCCGUGAGCACCCAGGCCGGGACACGGCGGCACCUCUGCCGGGAUUCCUUUCCUAGGUGCUGGUGCCGGCCCAAGCCCCGGGCAGCGCUUUGUCGCGUCCGCCCCUCAGUGAUCAGCUCCGGGUCCCCCUGCUCGGCCCCGCGCGCCCCAAGCGCAGUCCCCGGAAGUGCGCGCCGGGGCCCCAGCAAAGAGUCUGAGAAGCCAACUGGGGCCAAGCAAGUUUUAGAACCUCUACUGGCUGAUGCCAACAUCAUCAGAGAUGAACUGUUCUUACCAGAAACUUCUCUGCUCCUGACAGCACACCUCUCCCCAGAAGAGAAGAAGGAGAGUGGCCACGUUGAUUCAGCCAAGCACCUCCAGGAGGUCCUCUCUGGAUGUCCCAUGAGGCUGCCCCUCAGCCACAGCCCAGAGCACGUGGAGAUGGCUUUGCUCAGCAACAUCCUAGCGGCCUAUUCCUUUGUCUCAGGUGUGUCUUUGAGAAGAUGAGAAGAUCGCAGACCUGUGUUCUAAACUGGCAUGGUUCUAAAGAAAAGGU
rnacentral:sRNA from 1 species